rnacentral:rRNA from 1 species
UACGGAGGGGGCUAGCGUUGUUCGGAAUUACUGGGCGUAAAGCGCACGUAGGCGGCUUUGUAAGUUAGAGGUGAAAGCCCGGGGCUCAACCCCGGAAUUGCCUUUGAGACUGCAUCGCUAGAAUUGUGGAGAGGUAAGUGGAAUUCCGAGUGUAGAGGUGAAAUUCGUAGAUAUUCGGAAGAACACCAGUGGCGAAGGCGACUUACUGGACACAUAUUGACGCUGAGGUGCGAAAGCGUGGGGAGCAAACAGG